AUAGAUUCCAUAGUCAAAACCACCAUUAGUAAAACAAGCAACUGCAUCAGAAUUGUUCUUCCACUGAUCCCAUGUUGUAUCCCACCUAAACUUUCUGUAGUCGUUGCCAUGACCACAGUCUAUAAAUUCCACACACCUCGCUAUCUUUGAUUCACGACAAGCAUCUCGAAGACAUUGAUUCACCCUCUGUAAACCAAAAAGAUACCAGCAUGAGCCCACCACAUGGCUUGAUAAAACAAAAGUGAGAAGAUUUAUGAAAAAAUUUGCCCAUGCAGACUCAAAUAUAAAACCACUUGG
rnacentral:misc_RNA from 1 species